UGAGGAAGUAAAAGUCGUAACAAGGUUUCCGUAGGUGAACCUGCGGAAGGAUCAUUAACCGUUACAAACAGUGUGUGAUGCGGCCGCCGAGGUGAAUAGCCUCUGGUUGGUAUGGGGUUCGCCCCUUCACGCUCACGCGUCUGCCAUCCUUACUUUACGAGCACCUUCUGUUCUCCCUCGGCAAGGGCCUCGCCCUGCCGUUGGAACUACAAAACUCUUUUUUGCAUCUAGCAUUACCUGUUCCGACAAAAACAAUCGUUUACAACUUUCAACAAUGGAUCUCUUGGCUCUGGCAUCGAUGAAGAACGCAGCGAAAUGCGAUAAGUAGUGUGAAUUGCAGAAUUCAGUGAAUCAUCUAAUCUUUGAACGCACAUUGCGCCCCUCGGUAUUCCGUGGGGCAUGCCUGUUCGAGCGUCAUCUACACCCUCAAGCUCUGCUUGGUGUUGGGCGUCUGUCCCGCCUCCGCGCGUGGACUCGCCCCAAAUACAUUGGCAGCGGUCUUUGCCUCCUCUCGCGCAGCACAUUGCGCUUCUCGAGGUGUCGCGGACACGCGUCCAGUAAGCAACAUUUACCGUCUUUGACCUCGGAUCAGGUAGGGAUACCCGCUGAACUUAAGCAUAUCAAUAAGCGGAGGAA
rnacentral:rRNA from 1 species